rnacentral:hammerhead_ribozyme from 1 species
AUUCAACUGACGAGUCCCGACUAAGACGAAACACGUGUCCUCGAU